AUACGUAGGUGACAAGCGUUAUCCGGAUUUACUGGGCGUAAAGGGCGUGUAGGCGGUCUUGCAAGUCAGAAGUGAAAUUCCUGAGCUCAACUCGGGCGCUGCUUCUGAAACUGCAGGACUUGAGUGCUGGAGGGGAUAGCGGAAUUCCUAGUGGAGCGGUAAAAUGCGCAGAUAUUAGGAAGAACACCGGUGGCGAAGGCGGAUAUCUGGGCAGCAACGGGAGCUGAGACUCGAAAGCGUGGGGAGCAAAAAGGAAUAGAUACCCUGGUAGUCCCCGCCGUAAACGAUGAAUACAAGGUGUAGGGGGUAUCGACUCCCUCUGUGCCGCAGUUAACACAAUAAGUAUUCCGCCUGGGGAGUACGGCCGCAAGGUUGAAACUCAAAUGAAUUGACGGGG
rnacentral:rRNA from 1 species